GAGUUUGAUCUUGGCUCAGGACGAACGCUGGCGGCGUGCCUAAUACAUGCAAGUCGAGCGAGCAAUUUUGACGGAAUACUUCGGUAGGAAGUCAGAAGCGCGAGCGGCGGAUGGGUGAGUAACACGUGGGCAACCUGCCCUUUAGCUUGGGAUACCACUUGGAAACAGGUGCUAAUACCAAAUAAGAAGCGAGAGCGCAUGCUCAAGCUGAGAAAGGCGGCUUUGGAGCUGUCACUAAAGGAUGGGCCCGCGGUGCAUUAGCUAGUUGGUAAGGUAACGGCCUACCAAGGCGAUGAUGCAUAGCCGAGUUGAGAGACUGACCGGCCACAUUGGGACUGAGACACGGCCCAAACUCCUACGGGAGGCAGCAGUAGGGAAUCUUCCACAAUGGACGCAAGUCUGAUGGAGCAACGCCGCUGUAAUAC
rnacentral:rRNA from 1 species